rnacentral:rRNA from 1 species
AUUGAACGCUGGCGGCAUGCCUUACACAUGCAAGUCGAACGGUAACAGGGAGCUUGCUCCGCUGACGAGUGGCGAACGGGUGAGUAAUAUAUCGGAACGUACCUUUGAGUGGGGGAUAACUAGUCGAAAGACUAGCUAAUACCGCAUACGAUCUACGGAUGAAAGUGGGGGCUCGCAAGACCUCAUGCUCAUAGAGCGGCCGAUAUCUGAUUAGCUAGUUGGUGAGGUAAAGGCUCACCAAGGCAUCGAUCAGUAGCUGGUCUGAGAGGACGACCAGCCACACUGGGACUGAGACACGGCCCAGACUCCUACGGGAGGCAGCAGUGGGGAAUUUUGGACAAUGGGGGCAACCCUGAUCCAGCAAUGCCGCGUGAGUGAAGAAGGCCUUCGGGUUGUAAAGCUCUUUUGUCAGGGAAGAAACGGGGAUUCCUAAUACGAGUCCCUAAUGACGGUACCUGAAGAAUAAGCACCGGCUAACUACGUGC